rnacentral:rRNA from 1 species
AGUGGCGGACGGGUGAGUAACGCGUGAGAAUCUGCCUUCAGGUCGGGGACAACAGUUGGAAACGACUGCUAAUACCCGAUGUGCAGCAAUGUGAAAGAUUUAUUGCCUGAAGAUGAGCUCGCGUCUGAUUAGCUAGUAGGUGUGGUAAUGGCGCACCUAGGCGACGAUCAGUAACUGGUCUGAGAGGAUGACCAGUCACACUGGGACUGAGACACGGCCCAGACUCCUACGGGAGGCAGUAGUGGGGAAUUUUCCGCAAUGGGCGAAAGCCUGACGGAGCAAUACCGCGUGAGGGACGACGGCUUUUGGGUUGUAAACCUCUUUUCCCUGGGAAGAAGAUCUGACGGUACCAGGGGAAUCAGCAUCGGCUAACUUCGUGCCAGCAGCCGCGGUAAUACGAGGGAUGCAAGCGUUAUCCGGAAUUAUUGGGCGUAAAGCGUCCGCAGGUGGCUCUGUAAGUCUGUCGUUAAAGAAUGGAGCUUAACUCCAUACAGGCGAUGGAAACUACAAGGCUAGAGUUUGGUAGGGGUCACGGGAAUUCUUAGUGUAGCGGUGAAAUGCGUAGAUAUUAAGAAGAACACCAGCGGCGAAAGCGCGUGACUGGGCCAGUACUGACACUCAUGGACGAAAGCUAGGGGAGCGAAAGGGAUUAGAUACCCCUGUAGUCCUAGCCGUAAACGAUGAUAACUAGGUGUUGCUC